GAAUGAUUCACUGCUGACUGACCGCAGCUCCAGCCAGCAAAUGCCUCCUACAAACUAACUUUCUCCAAGAGUAGCAGGGUGGACAUGUGUCCCAGGGCCAAUAAUGGAAUGACAUCCUCAAUUAGAUUGGUCCCCUACCCACCCCAAGAAGUCUUAGGCAUUUAUUCGGGAACACAGGUUGGUGUAUGGACAUUGUCUUCAAACUAAAUUACAGGACAAAAGUGUGCGCCAUUGCCAUAAUGAAAAAUGUCUGGCUUUCUGCCCCUGGUUAUUUCUUCAUAACCACUCCAGCAUAAAGGACUAAUUCGAGAGCAAGACCCUCCCAACAUCCAUGCAUGUAUCCACCUGUCCAUUAGCCAAUAACCAGUUACGUUAUCUAGUUUUACCUGAAAACCUUGUACCAAAUGCUGAGGAUACAAAUAUGGCUAAGAUCAAAUCCUGAAGCACUCAAGAACUCAUCAAGAACUCAGUCAUAUGGGAUGAUCAGCUUUUUAAUCUAUUAAGUGUCCUAUAGCAGUAAAUAUCAUACAGAGGAAGUAUGAACAAAAUGCUAUAGAGGAAGAAUUGGGUGUGAGGAAAGAAAUAAACUUUCAC
rnacentral:lncRNA from 1 species